GACAGAGGGGGCAAGCGUUGUCCGGAUUUAUUGGGCGUAAAGAGCGUGUAGGCGGCCAGACAAGUCCGUUGUGAAAGUCAAAGGCUCAACCUUUGAACGCCGAUGGAUACUGCCGGGCUAGAGUCCGGAAGAGGCGAGUGGAAUUCCUGGUGUAGCGGUGGAAUGCGCAGAUAUCAGGAGGAACACCAAUAGCGAAGGCAGCGCGCUGGGACGGUACUGACGCUGAGGCGCGAAAGCGUGGGGAGCGAACAGG
rnacentral:rRNA from 1 species